rnacentral:rRNA from 1 species
GAUGAACGCUGGCGGCGUGCUUAACACAUGCAAGUCGAACGGAAAGGCCCAAGCUUGCUUGGGUACUCGAGUGGCGAACGGGUGAGUAACACGUGGGUGAUCUGCCCUGCACUUCGGGAUAAGCCUGGGAAACUGGGUCUAAUACCGGAUAGGACGAUGGUUUGGAUGCCAUUGUGGACAGUUUUUUCGGUGUGGGAUGAGCUCGCGGCCUAUCAGCUUGUUGGUGGGGUAAUGGCCUACCAAGGCGUCGACGGGUAGCCGGCCUGAGAGGGUGUACGGCCACAUUGGGACUGAGAUACGGCCCAGACUCCUACGGGAGGCAGCAGUGGGGAAUAUUGCACAAUGGGCGCAAGCCUGAUGCAGCGACGCCGCGUGGGGGAUGACGGCCUUCGGGUUGUAAACUCCUUUCGCUAGGGACGAAGCGUUUUUGUGACGGUACCUGGAGAAGAAGCACCGGCUAACUACGUG